UACGGAGGGUGCAAACGUUGCUCGGAAUUACUGGGCGUAAAGCGCGUGUAGGCGGGCCGACAAGUCAGAUGUGAAAUCCCUGGGCUCAACCCAGGAACUGCAUUUGAAACUGUUGGCCUUGAGUGGUGGAGAGGGAAGCGGAAUUCCUGGUGUAGAGGUGAAAUUCGUAGAUAUCAGGAGGAACACCGGUGGCGAAGGCGACUUCCUGGACACCAA
rnacentral:rRNA from 1 species